rnacentral:rRNA from 1 species
GACGAACGCUGGCGGCGUGCUUAACACAUGCAAGUCGAACGAAGUGGCGAACGGGUGAGUAACGCGUAAUCAACCUGCCCUUGAGAGGGGGACAACAGUUGGAAACGACUGCUAAUACCGCAUACUGAAGGAGGGGAUUGCGUCUGAUUGGCUGGUUGGCGGGGUAACGGACUACAAAGGCGAUUGUCAGUAGCCGGGUGGAGAGGGUGAACGGCCACAUGGGGACGGAGACACGGCCCAGACGCCUACGGGAGGCAGCAGUGGGGAAGCUUUCGCAAUUGACGAAAGUCUGACUGAGCAACUCCGCGUGAGUGAUGACGGCCUUCGGGGUGUAAAGCUCUGUUAAUCGGGACGCGGUACCGGAAGAGAAAGCCACGGCUAACUACGUGCCAGCAGCCGCGGUAAUUC